UACGGAGGGUGCGAGCGUUAUUCGGAAUGACUGGGCGUAAAGCGCGCGUAGGCGGUGAUAUAAGUCUGAUGUGAAAUCCCUCGACUCAAUCGAGGAAGUGCAUUGGAUACUGUAUUACUAGAGUUUAGGAGGGGAGAACGGAAUUCCCGGUGUAGAGGUGAAAUUCGUAGAUAUCGGGAGGAACAACGGAAGCGAAGGCGGUUCUCUGGACUAAUACUGACGCUGAGGUGCGAAAGCGUGGGGAGCAAACAGG
rnacentral:rRNA from 1 species